rnacentral:rRNA from 2 species
AACUUUCAACAACGGAUCUCUUGGUUCUCGUAUCGAUGAAGAACGCAGCAAAGCGCGAUAGGUAAUGCGAAUUGCAGACGUGAGUCAUUGAAUUUUUGAACGCAUAUUGCGCUAUUAGUUUGUCUAAUAGCAUGCUUGUUGGAGUGAUAAU